AUUGAACGCUGGCGGCAGGCCUAACACAUGCAAGUCGAACGAGUGGCGGACGGGUGAGUAAUGUCUGGGAAACUGCCUGAUGGAGGGGGAUAACUACUGGAAACGGUAGCUAAAACCGCAUACCAUCGGGUGUGCCCAGAUGGGAUUAGCUAGUAGGUGGGGUAACGGCUCACCUAGGCGACGAUCACUAGCUGGUCUGAGAGGAUGGCCAGGGACACUGGAACUGGGAGAAGGUCCAGACGCCUACGCGAGGCAGGAGGGGGGGAUGUGGGACAAUGGGCGCAAGCCUGAUGCAGCCAUGCCGCGUGUAUGAAGAAGGCCUUCGGGUUGUAAAGUACUUUCAGCGGGGAGGCGUUACCCGCAGAAGAAGCACCGGCUAACUCCGUGCCAGCAGCCGCGGUAAUUC
rnacentral:rRNA from 1 species